rnacentral:rRNA from 1 species
CCCGGUGAUAGUAGCGAGGAGGAAACACCCGUUCCCAUUCCGAACACGGCAGUUAAGCUCCUCAGCGCCGAUGGUACUGCAUGGGAGACUGUGUGGGAGAGUAGGUCGUUGCCGGGA